CAUAUGCUUGUCUCAAAGAUUAAGCCAUGCAUGUCUAAGUUCACACUGUCUCACGGUGAAACCGCGAAUGGCUCAUUAAAUCAGUCGAGGUUCCUUAGAUGACACGAUCCUACUUGGAUAACUGUGGCAAUUCUAGAGCUAAUACAUGCCUAUGAAGCUCCGACCCUCGUGGAAAGAGCGCUUUUAUUAGUUCAAAACCAAUCGCCGGUCGUCUUCGGGCGGCCGGUGUCCCCAUUGGUGACUCUGGAUAACUUUGUGCUGAUCGCAUGGCCUCCGCGCCGGCGACGCAUCUUUCAAAUGUCUGCCCUAUCAAAUGUCGAUGGUACGUGAUAUGCCUACCAUGUUUGUAACGGGUAACGGGGAAUCAGGGUUCGAUUCCGGAGAGGGAGCAUGAGAAACGGCUACCACAUCCAAGGAAGGCAGCAGGCGCGCAACUUACCCACUCCCGGCACGGGGAGGUAGUGACGAAAAAUAACAAUACGGGACUCUCUACGAGGCUCCGUAAUUGGAAUGAGUACACUUUAAACCCUUUAACGAGUAUCUAUUGGAGGGCAAGUCUGGUGCCAGCAGCCGCGGUAAUUCCAGCUCCAAUAGCGUAUAUUAAAGUUGUUGCAGUUAAAAAGCUCGUAGUUGGAUCUCAGGUGCAGGCGGACGGUCCGGCUCGCGCCGGUUCACUGUCCGUAUUUCCUGCCCUACUGGUCUGCCGGCUCUCUCCCGUGGGUGCUCUUCACUGAGCGUCCCGGGUGGCCGGCGCGUUUACUUUGAAAAAAUUAGAGUGUUCAAAGCAGGCCUCGGCUGCCUGAAUAAUGGUGCAUGGAAUAAUGGAAUAGGACCUCGGUUCUAUUUUGUUGGUUUUCGGAACUGGAGGUAAUGAUUAAAAGGGACAAACGGGGGCAUUCGUAUUGCGGCGUUAGAGGUGAAAUUCUUGGAUCGCCGCAAGACGAGCUACUGCGAAAGCAUUUGUCAAGAAUGUUUUCAUUAAUCAAGAACGAAAGUCA
rnacentral:rRNA from 1 species